GUAAUAAACUCCGUGGGUUAUGUAUGCGUCACUGAUGAACGUAAGUAUUGAGUUUAUUGAAUAAGUUGCAAUUAUCGCUGACGAGUGUUUUGUUAUACCUUAGGAAGGUAUUUACGUUGAUUUCCUAUCCAAUCAUUCCCUUUACUUCGAUUAUGUAUUGUGUUGGUGUGUUAUGGUAAUGGCUUUGUAAGCAUUGUAGUAAUUGGUUUUCCGUUUAUCUGUUAUAGAACCAUACAUACAUCCAUUCAUACGUACAGGAAAUAAAACUCAUAACAACCUCCCUCCAUCUUGUCUACCCUGCAUCGUAAUUGAUAUCCCGCAGCGAGUACUACCCUCCUGCAGCAACUCGUACAGUUUUCCCAGGGGAGUGUGGCCCCCCUUUUCCACAUUUGUUGGUCCUUCGAGCCGGAUAUCGAGUACUUACUGUGGAGACAAGAUGGAUAGCUCCCAAAGUGAUGAUGACGCUACUCAGAUUAUGCGACCUCGACGUGCUACCCAUCGGCCAUUAUACCUCGAUGAUUAUGAGAACCAUACAUACAUCCAUUCAUACGUACAGGAAAUAAAACUCAUAACAACCUCCCUCCA